UAGGGAAUCUUCGGCAAUGGGGGGAACCCUGACCGAGCAACGCCGCGUGAGUGAAGAAGGUUUUCGGAUCGUAAAGCUCUGUUGUUAAGGAAGAACGAGUGUGAGAAUGGAAAGUUCAUACUGUGACGGUACUUAACCAGAAAGGGACGGCUAACUACGUGCCAGCAGCCGCGGUAAUACGUAGGUCCCGAGCGUUGUCCGGAUUUAUUGGGCGUAAAGCGAGCGCAGGCGGUUAGAUAAGUCUGAAGUUAAAGGCAGUGGCCCAACCAUUGUAGGCUUUGGAAACUGUUUAACUUGAGUGCAGAAGGGGAGAGUGGAAUUCCAUGUGUAGCGGUGAAAUGCGUAGAUAUAUGGAGGAACACCGGUGGCGAAAGCGGCUCUCUGGUCUGUAACUGACGCUGAGGCUCGAAAGCGUGGGGAGCGAACAGG
rnacentral:rRNA from 1 species